AUUGAACGCUGGCGGCAUGCUUUACACAUGCAAGUCGAACGGUAACAGGCCUUCGGGUGCUGACGAGUGGCGAACGGGUGAGUAAUGCAUCGGAACGUACCCAGAGGUGGGGGAUAACGCAGCGAAAGCUGUGCUAAUACCGCAUGUGAUCUGAGGAUGAAAGCGGGGGACCGAGCAGCAAUGUUUGGCCUCGCGCCUUUGGAGCGGCCGAUGUCGGAUUAGCUAGUUGGUGGGGUAAGGCCUACCAAGGCGACGAUCCGUAGCUGGUCUGAGAGGACGACCAGCCACACUGGGACUGAGACACGGCCCAGACUCCUACGGGAGGCAGCAGUGGGGAAUUUUGGACAAUGGGCGCAAGCCUGAUCCAGCAAUGCCGCGUGCGGGAAGAAGGCCUUCGGGUUGUAAACCGCUUUUGGCAGGAACGAAACGGUGUCCGCUAAUACCGGGCGCUAAUGACGGUACCUGCAGAAUAAGCACCGGCUAACUACGU
rnacentral:rRNA from 1 species